UUUUACCCUUCAGUGAACUAUAAACAAGAACUAUAAAUAAGGUCCCUCUCCAUCUCUAGAGGAUCUCAGACAUUCAUGAAAAUCUCAGCAACCAUGAAGUGCUUCUGCUUCAUCAUUGGGAUCCUCAUCUUCUCUUCCUUCCUUCUGGAGGCCACAGGAGAAGACCCCAUGCCUUUUUGCCGUGGCACCUGUAGGAACAAGUGUGCAGAAGAUGAGAGACCGGGACCAAGAGUUGUAUGCCAAGUUUUUUCUGACACUUACUGCUGUAGAAAAGAGUAAGAUAAAAUGCUGGCAGAGCAAAUAGAUGUGAAUUAUUAAAUAACUGUCAAAAUAAAUGGAAUCCUACUG